rnacentral:ncRNA from 1 species
CCGGGGCAAAGCGACCUCCCGGUCAAGCCAUUGUCACUCAAUGGCUCAAGCGUUGC